CCGCGGGCCGGCCUUCCGGAGCAGACGGGCUCCAGGGACCGCAGGGCCGCCUCCCGGCCUCAGGCGCUCCGUACCCGGAGAAGCGGCGCUGCCUCCUUGCCGCCCGCCUCACCGGGCUUCAGGUUAAACAGAACGUUCUCUGGGCAACCCGGACAGCGGAAACCGUUAUCACUCAAUGUGUGUGACACAGACCAGCAGCUUUGCCAUCACCUGGGAGCUGGCUAGAAGUGUAGAAUCUGAGGCUCUAUCCUACAGGAUCAGAAUCUGCAUUUUAACAAGAUCCUCAGGGGAAUGUGUAUACAUAUUAAAGUGUCAAGCACUGCUUUGAAGGCUGGCAGAGAGCAAGUCUAGUUUUGAUUCCUCUUCCUGUUCUGCAUGCAUCUUGUCCGGAAAGAAGAAAGUGUCAAGAUCCUGAAAGAACAAAAGACUGAAGAACUGACAAAGAUUGGGGGAGAGUAAGGCUACGUAACUAAAUACAAUAUGGGAUCCUGGGUUUGAAAAAGGGAAUUAGUUUGAAAACUGUUGAAAUUUGAAUAAGGUCUGUGGUUUAGUUAAUAGAAUUGUAUCAAUGUUAAUUUCCUUGGUAGUUAUUGUAAUGUUAUAUGAAAUCUUAUAAUUAGGGAACCUGGGUAAAGGGUAUAUGAGAAUUCUCCGUACUAUUUUUUUUUA